ACGUCAAAAUCGCCACUUUUGAAUUUUUUAAACCACUCAAAGCACUGUGAUUUACCAAGAGCAUACUCACCAUAUUAAUAAAACAUAAA